rnacentral:rRNA from 1 species
UACGGGGGGGGCAAGCGUUGUUCGGAAUUACUGGGCGUAAAGGGCUCGUAGGCGGCCAACUAAGUCAGACGUGAAAUCCCUCGGCUUAACCGGGGAACUGCGUCUGAUACUGGAUGGCUUGAGUUUGGGAGAGGGAUGCGGAAUUCCAGGUGUAGCGGUGAAAUGCGUAGAUACCAGGAGGAACACCGGUGGCGAAAGCGGUUUCCUGGCCGAGUACUGACGCUGAGGCACGAAAGCGUGGGGAGCGAACGGG